rnacentral:lncRNA from 1 species
AGCCACAGGAGGUGAGCAUGGAAGUGGAUUCUCUCCCAUCAAGACUUCAGCCUUCAUGGAUUCUGGUAAGAAAUCUGCUUUUAUUCAUAUUCUUCCUCUAUGGGUAAUGUUUUUUCCUAGCCUCUAUCAAGACCUUUUUUUUUUUUCCUUUUCUUUGGUUUUCAGAAAUUCAAAACUAUGAUGUGACUGAGCAUGGGUUUCCUUUAGGUUUAUCUUGUUUGGGGUUCGUUCAGCUUCUUGAAUCUAGAGUAUAUCUUCUGUCAAAUUCAGAACAUUUCCAGCCAUUAAUUCUUCAAAUGUGACUUCAGCUGUGUACCUUUUCUUCUCUCCUUCAGAAGUAAUUACAUGAAUGCUAAUUUUGUCACUGUCCCACAGGUCUGUGGGAUUCCAAUCACUUUUAUUCAUUUCUUGGUCUGUCGUUCGAAGUACAUAAUUCUUAGUGAUCUAUCUCCAGGCUACUGUAUUUUUUCAGUUGUAAAAUUUGUUUGGGUUUUCCUUAAAUCUCUUAUUCAGGUUGAGAUUUUUCCUGGCUUAUACGGUGAAUAAUUUGGCAUUGGAUCCUGGACAUUGUGAGUAUUUUGCGAAUCUUGUUCCUAUUUAUUUAUUGUCUUUUGUCUACUUAGGGCCGAACCCUUGGCAUAUAGAGGUUCCCAGACUUAGGGGUCUAAUCGGAGCUAUAGCCGCCAGCUUACGCCACAGCAGUGCAGGAUCCACGCCACGUCUUCGACCUACACCAUAGCAACAACCUACACCACAGCAAUGCCAGAUCCUUAACCCACUGAGCAAGACCAGGGAUUGAACCCACGUCCUCAUGGAUACUACUCCGGUUCAUUAACCACUGAGCCACAACAGAAUCUUGUUCCUAUUUCAGUCUUCUAUUUUAUAAGGCAGACUGUUCAGAUUCAGUGGGUUCAGGCCCGCCUUGUUCAAUUUUCAAAGCCUUUGCAGUGCUGUCUCCACUUGGGUGCUACCCAGAAAUCAAUCUGAAACUUGGGCAGUAGUCCACACAUAGUUCAUUUUACCAGGUUGAUUCACGUGUAGUCUGUUUGAGCAUCUGCCCAGAACUUCAUUAACAGAUCUAAAGGAACCUUUUCUCCAGUUCCCUCCCUUCUGCAACCCUCCCUCAGUUUGUAGUUGGGAUGGUCAAGGUACCACCUUUUUGCAGCUGCUCACUCAGUACAGGGCAGGAGUGGCCCACAGAGCUCCUCCCCACUGUCCUAGCCACAUGCAGUGACUAGGGGGAUGGCUGAUCAUCUGGAAUAGGUCAGGUUUAAUCAAGAGGCUUUUUUCCCUGUAGGUCAUUCUUCUGCCAUUCCUUCUUUCUUUGUCUAUACCCAUUGAUGUUUUCAGAUUUAGGUUUUCCUUGUACCCAAGCUAAAGGAAAGUAAAAAGGCGGCAAAAGAAAAACCCCAGUAAACGUCCAAGUCAUUCUUCAAGUUUGAAAGUGCCUACCCAGGCCACCACCUUUUUCCACCUUUCAGUCUUUUGAUAGUUGCUUUAUAUAUUUUGUCCAGGGAUUUUAGUCAUAUUUAGCAGCAGGAACAAGAUGGAAUAUACUUACUUUAUUAUGUGUUUUAUUCAAAGUCCUGCAAGUAGCCUUUCAAAAACAGGUUUUUAUCUAUAUACUAAGAAACCAAAACAGUUUUAACAAUAAAGGAACUCAAAUUUAUUAAGCACUUAUGUGUCAGACAUUAUGCACAGUGAUACUAAAACUUUUCUAACAACCCAAAUAUUAAUUAAAUUCUUCUGUUAAUUAUAAAGAAUAAGGCUCAGGCCAAAGGCAGGAAAGUAAUAUCUAUGCCAUGUUCUAUGCUUACUGGGGUUUCAGUUUGUUUUUAAAAUAUGGAAAAGUAUAAAGAAACUAGCAAACACCUUGCAUACAUGCUUUCUAGUAUUGAUCAUUUUUACCACAUUUGUAUAUUCUUAAGUAAAAUACCAUAAACAAAGCAGACAUACUUUUCAUCCAUGCCCCUCCUCCAACCAAUAGAUUAGGAGUUCAGUGUUGCCUUUUCUGUUUUAUACUUAGGCAUUGAUAAACAAAACAGUAUUUCAAAUGAUAAAAUCUGCAACUUGUAUUAGACAUUACGCUUUUCUUUUAAUAAUAUAAUAAAUGUAAAGAGAUUAGGAUUACCUGAUGUAUUUAUUCCUAUCAUUGCAGUUUGUUUCUUGUUAUGGAAGAGGCAGGAGUAAUUCUUACCUUUUCUCCUUGUUCAUAUAUUUAAAGAGGAUUUGGUCCUCAGCCCCAACCCACCCUCCACCCCUCUUCAUCCACACACACACAGUGGACUGAAAGGUAAUGUUUCUAUUGUUCUUAGUUCAUUCUUAAUUUUUCAAUAUAACUACACUUUAGAACAUAUUGAUAUUAGUGAUAAUUUACAAAAUGGUCAGUACCUCAGUUUUUUUCCUCAGUAAAACUAGUAUAUUUGUUUCCCUUCAGAUUACUUUUUCUGACCUAAUUUCCAUGUUAAUGUUCAAUAUUUUAGUUACAACAUUUUUUAAAAUUUUAUGGUGGCACCCAUGCCAUGUGAAAGUUUCCAUGCCAGGGUCUGAAUCUGAGUCACAGCUGCAACCCAAGCCGUGCCGAAUUCUUUAACAGACUGCACUGGCAGAACCCAAGCUGCUAUGGUCAAAUUCUUCACCCACCACGCCAUGGUGGAAACCCCUACUUACCACUUCUUUUUUAAACCCAAGUUGUUAUUUUAUUUUAUUUAUUUAUCUAUUUUUGGUCCAUUUAGGGCUACACCCCGCACCAUAUGGAAGUUCCCAGGCCUAGGGGUCAAAUCAGAGCUGUAGCCACUGGCUUAUGCUACAGCCACCACAACAUGGGAUCCAGGCUGCAUCUGCAACCUAUAUACACCACAGCUCAUGGCAAUGCCGGAUCCUUAACCCACUGAGCGGGGCCAAGGAUCGAACCUGCAUUCUCAUGGAUACUAGUCAGAUUCGUUAACCACUGAGCCAAGACAGAAACUCCACAAGUUGUUCUUUUAUUUUGUCUUUUUGUCUUUUCUAGGGCUGCACCCUGGGCAUAUGGAGGUUCCCAGGCUAGUGGUCCAAUCGGAGCUAUAGCUGUGGGCCUAUGCCAGAGCCACAGCAACUCGGGAUCUGAGCCGUGUCUGUGACCUACACCACAGCUCAGGGCAAUGCCAGAUCCUCAACCCACUGAGCAAGGCCAGGGACCAAACCCGAAACCUCAUGGUUCCUAGUCGGAUUCGUUUUUCACGCUGAUUUUUUAUUUUCAUUUUUACUUUUUUAGUGGCCGCACCCAAGGCAAAUGGUUUUUCCUAAGCCAGGGAUUGAAUCUGAGCUGCAGCUGCAAUCUAUGCCACAGCUUCGGCAGCACCAGAUCCUUUAACCCACUGCACUAGGCCAGGUAUUGAACCCAGCAACCCGAGAUGCAGGAUUUGGACUCUUAAUCCACUGCAUCACUGUGGUGACUCCACACACUGAUUUUAGAAAGAUAAACUGGCUGGGUUUAGAAUUCUAGGUUGCUAGUUAUCUUUCUUCAGCAGGUGUUCCAUUGUGUUCUGGCAUCUUUUAUUGCUGAAAAAAGUUGGAUAUCAACUUGACUAUUUCUUUGAAAGAUAUGUUUUCUAAUAGCUUCCCAGUUUCACUAUAAACUCUCGCUGUGGAUUAAUUUCUGUUUGCCUUGUUUGAGAUUCAUGGUACUCCUUUAAAUUGAAAAUACAUGUCUUCAGUUCUAGAAUUCUAAAAUUUUCCUUUAAAAAUGGCCUGCUAGAAAUUUUCAGCAUUCUACCCUCCAUAGCUUAAUAUCUCUUAAAUCUUUCAUCUCUUUACCUGCUCUAUACUUUGGUCCAGGUGAUUUCCUUCUAUCUUCCAAUUCACUUUCUCUUUGAGGCUGUUCCACUGUUUAACUGAACCAGUUGUUAUUUUUGUUGAAUGUUUCACAGUGCAACUAUACUAUGAAUUUGGCUUCUGCCUUCACAGGUAGCAAAGAUUCUUGUUAGUGACUUUGUUUCCAUCCCUGGCCUGGGCGGGAAAGCUUUUUUUCUGCUAUGACCCUGAGGUAGUAGAUAAGAAUUUUUCAGUCUUUGUGUUAGAAUAGAACUUCCUCAGUUUUCAGCAUGACCCACUUCUGCUUCUUAAUAUCCCUUGUAACUGCAGCCUUGAUUGCUAACAUCUCUUCCUUGGCAUUUUUGAAACCUGUGCCUAAAGCAUAUAUCCAGUCCAGCUACUUCAUGGGUCACGUAGGUCCUCUUCAUUUCUGCCACCUGGAGUUUCCUUUUUCUUCCUUGAGAAUGUUUCCCCAACCCCCUUUCACUAGCACAUCCAUAUCUUUGGAGCAGGAAUGGUAAUAAUUCCCCUACUGGCAUCUUUCAUACCAACUUAUUACUCACAUACACCCUAGGAGGUAAAUGGCAUUAUCUCCAUUUUACGGACAAAAGUAGUGUCUUCAGAGUUACUGAGUCACUAAAAGUAGUCAGGAGCAGACUUAGAACUUAAACUCAAGGCUGUGUGUUACUUUCUGCUACUUUUUCUGCUUGACUAUGUUGUUUAUUUAUUCAGUAUUUUUCUAUUAUAUCCUCUUGAUCUUAGAAAACCAGGUUCGGACACUAUUUUAAAGACAGCCUGACCAAAUUUCUCCUGAAAAUGUCUGAAUGGUUGUUAAAUGGCACCUAUUUAUUUUUAGAGACCCUUAUCAUUUUCAUACCAUUAAAAACCAUGGUCUUCAUUCCUAAGUGCAGCUCAUUUCUGGGAAAUAAUGAUGUUUAAGGAUGAUAUUGAGUCUGUUUUAACUGGCACUUUUCAGCCUCUUAUCCCAGAACUGCCUUGUGCUCAGGAGCUUCAGCCCUCAGACCUAUGGCACUUGUGUGAUUGCAGACCCUGCCCCAGGCUAAAGGCUAUCUUUCUGACAAAAAGAAUAGAAAUAGUGCUGACUCUCCCCACUCCCUCCUACCCCCCACCAUGGCUGGCACCACACACUAUACUCACUCCUUUGCUAUUUGCAAGUUUACAGCCUGCCCAACUGUCUCCUUCCAUGGAAAAUAUUUCCUUCAUUGUCUUUUGGAAUGCAUUUGAAGCCGCUUCUCUUAACCAAUAAAAACAUCUAGUUUUUCUAUUUUGGGGAACUUUAAUAUUCUUAGGUAGCUCACAUUGGAUAAAAUGUCUUGAAUGCAAGGAAAGUAUCCUUUUUUUUUUCCAUUCUUUGUGCCAGACUUU